rnacentral:rRNA from 1 species
UACAGAGGUGGCAAGCGUUGUUCGGAAUUACUGGGCGUAAAGGGCGCGUAGGCGGCCAUCUAAGUCAGACGUGAAAUCCCCCGGCUUAACCUGGGAACUGCGUCUGAUACUGGAAGGCUUGAGUAUGGGAGAGGGAUGUAGAAUUCCAGGUGUAGCGGUGAAAUGCGUAGAUAUCUGGAGGAAUACCGGUGGCGAAGGCGGCAUCCUGGACCAUUACUGACACUGAAAAGCGAAAGCCAGGGGAGCAAACGGG